UACGGGGGGGGCAAGCGUUGUUCGGAAUUACUGGGCGUAAAGGGCUCGUAGGCGGCCAACUAAGUCAGACGUGAAAUCCCUCGGCUUAACCGGGGAACUGCGUCUGAUACUGGAUGGCUUGAGAUUGGGAGAGGGAUGCGGAAUUCCAGGUGUAGCGGUGAAAUGCGUAGAUAUCUGGAGGAACACCGGUGGCGAAGGCGGCAUCCUGGACCAACACUGACUCUGAGUGAGCGAAAGCCAGGGGAGCAAACGGG
rnacentral:rRNA from 1 species